rnacentral:rRNA from 1 species
CUGUCUAUCUGUUAUUAACACCAAAUUGCUAAGGAGGUGAAAAUACCUCUAUAAUUACAAAAGACGAGAAGACCCUAGAAAUUUUCUAUAAAGUAGUUAUUACUACUCUUAUUUUGUUGGGGCGACCAAAUAACAAGAAAACUUAUUUUAUAACCUAUAAGAAUUUUUUAAGCAAAUAAAUAAAAUUACUCUAGGGAUAACAGCAUAAUUAUUUAAUAGUUUGUGACCUCAAUGUUGGACUAAGGAAGGUUUAAUCCAGAAGAUUAAACAACACGUUCUGUUCGAACAAAAUACCUUACAUGAUCUGAG